rnacentral:rRNA from 1 species
UACGUAGGGUGCAAGCGUUGUCCGGAAUUAUUGGGCGUAAAGAGCUCGUAGGCGGUCUGUCGCGUCGGCUGUGAAAACCCGAGGCUCAACCUCGGGCCUGCAGUCGAUACGGGCAAACUAGAGUACUGCAGGGGAGACUGGAAUUCCUGGUGUAGCGGUGAAAUGCGCAGAUAUCAGGAGGAACACCGGUGGCGAAGGCGGGUCUCUGGGCAGUAACUGACGCUGAGGAGCGAAAGCGUGGGGGAGCGAACAGG